CGGAUAUGGGCGUAAAGCAGCUCGUAGGCGGCUUGUCACGUUGGAUGUGAAAUCCCCGGGCUCAACCUCGGGACUGCAUUCAAUACUGGCUGGCUAGAGUGUGGUAGAGGGAGAUCGGAAUUCCUGGUGUAGCGGUGAAAUGCGCAGAUAUCAGAAGGAACACCGGUGGCGAAGGCGGAUCCCUGGACCAUUACUGACGCUGAGGAGCGAAAGCGUGGGGAGCGAACAGGAUUAGAUACCCUGGUAAUCCACGCCGUAAACGUUGGGAACUAGGUGUUGGCCACAUUCCACUUCGUCUGGGCCACCUCUAACACUUUAUAUACCGCGCCGGGAGAGUACCCCCGCAGGGCUAAAACUCAAAGAAUGUCAGGGGAGCGCACACAAGGUGCAAGAGCGUGUGUCUUAUUGCAACUUAACGCUAAAGACUUUUAACGCUUCCUGACAUAAUGCGCAUUGGAUCAGUCAUGGUGUGCCCCUUGGGAUCAUAUAUACAGGUGGUGCAUGUAAUGUCAUCUUCUCGGUGUCAUUAAGAUGUUUCAGUUAAGUCCCG
rnacentral:rRNA from 1 species